rnacentral:rRNA from 1 species
GACGAACGCUGGCGGCGUGCUUAACACAUGCAAGUCGAACGGAAAGGCCCUGCUUUUGUGGGGUGCUCGAGUGGCGAACGGGUGAGUAACACGUGAGUAACCUGCCCUUGACUUUGGGAUAACUUCAGGAAACUGGGGCUAAUACCGGAUAGGAGCUCCUGCUGCAUGGUGGGGGUUGGAAAGUUUCGGCGGUUGGGGAUGGACUCGCGGCUUAUCAGCGUGUUGGUGGGGUAGUGGCUUACCAAGGCUUUGACGGGUAGCCGGCCUGAGAGGGUGACCGGCCACAUUGGGACUGAGAUACGGCCCAGACUCCUACGGGAGGCAGCAGUGGGGAAUAGUGCACAAUGGGCGGAAGCCUGAUGCAGCAACGCCGCGUGCGGGAUGACGGCCUUCGGGUUGUAAACCGCUUUCGCCUGUGACGAAGCGUGAGUGACGGUAAUGGGUAAAGAAGCACCGGCUAACUACGUG